rnacentral:rRNA from 1 species
GACAGAGGUGGCAAGCGUUGUUCGGAUUCAUUGGGUGUAAAGGGCAGGUAGGUGGCUAUGUAAGUCCGGUGUGAAAUCCCAGAGCUCAACUCUGGAACUGCAUUGGAAACUACAUGGCUUGAGUACCGGAGAGGGUAGUGGAAUUCCCGGUGUAGUGGUGAAAUGCGUAGAUAUCGGGAAGGAACACCAGUGGCGAAGGCGGACUACCUGGCCUGUUCUUGACGCUGACGGCGCGAAAGCUAGGGAGCA